UAUGCUAGGAAUAUGCUAUAUGGAAGGUCUAUAAAUACCACCAUACCAUAACUCCAUCAUUCCACACUCAACACUACACUCCAUCUCUCCCUCUCUCUAUCUUAAUCUUCUUCAUAUCUUCAAGUCUUGUUCUUGAAGAUUCAACAUCCUUUCUAGUAAACUUCAAGAUAGUGUGAAGAUCUAAGGUUGUUCCCAAGGUGUUGUCAAGUGAAUACAAGCUUCCUAUCAUCCCAUAACUUACUUGAAUCUUGAAGUGUUUCAUGUUCUUGAAUGAUGGAAAAAAAUGCAAGUAUUUGGACAAAUAAAUAAUUUGAGGGAUUGUGUUAGCAUAUAAAAACGCACCCAAAGGUGAAGUUGCUUAGUGUUGAUUACGA
rnacentral:lncRNA from 1 species